UUGAAAUAAUUGCAUAAUAUAUACAUUAAUAAUCCACAAAUAACAUCACAUACUUUUUGCAGUGCUCUCAUAGUACCAUAAUAAAACAUGAAAAUAAAAAUUAUAAUCUUUUUCAAAUUUUUUCCCACUUUCUCUUGUUGUUUCUUCACUCUCUCCUUGCAAUUUUUUUGAGUUCCAUGUUCAUUCUCAACCUCUUUUCCUGUGAAUAAGAGAUUUUGUAACAAAGAUAAGUUUCCCACUAAGCAAUAAAGCAAACCAAUGACGAAACUGAAUACUAAAACAUGAAGAAUUUUAAAUAAAGCAAAACAAAGAUGCUAACCAAAUGAACAAAACCUUGAUAUAGUUGACACCUAGCUCCUUUCUUAUAUAACCACGAUCCAAAUUACUUAUUACAUAUUGAUUAUAAUUUUUUAUGAUUCUCAUUAUAAUAUCAAAAGUAGAAAUUCCGCCAGUCCGCUUUGUUUCCUUAAAUUUUGCAACAUACUUAACCUAGAUAAGAAAUUAAAAGGCAUAAGUUCAUAAAUUGCAGCAAAAAAGUUUGAGAUAGUUACAAGUAGUCUUAAUUUGAACUUACAUGUUCGUAGACAUCCUUUUCACCUCCACUUGCAUCAGCAUAACUAUGACAGUAGAAUAAGGAAGUGAUAACAUAUAUGAGAAGAACUUGAAGAAAAUAGUACCAGUCAGAAUAUACUCAAGUGUUGCAAUGCAAGCAUAACAGAAUCACAUGGAUAGAACAGAAGCAUCACAACACAAGACAAUCAAGUGAAAAUAAUAUUAAUAUCAACAAGAAGUUAACAACAGUAUAUAAUUCAUGCUUAUAACUUAAAAUCCCUAAACUUUUCACAUCACAACUGCAAGAACCAAGAAUGUCUGCACAUCCAUUCAGUUUAAAGUUAUUCUAUUCUGGUGUUGAUAAUUUUUAAUCAAGAAGUCACAAAUUUUAAACCUAUAUCAAAAUAGCAUGGGGCUGGUUAACCUUACGGAAGACUAUCAUGUGCCACAUAAUCAAUUUGAUGUUUGUCAAGGAACUCAUUGGUGAUUACCCAUGGCACAUCUGGAAUAACUUCAUCAACGCACCUUGAGGAAGUACAAUUCAAAUGUUUCACACACUCUAAUAUACAGAGAAAGCAACUAAUAGGAUUCAAAAUGUAGGGGUCCAAUAUUAAUGUAAUCAGGAAUUCAAAAGCAAUUUAAGUAAGAUGAACAAAUGGAUUGAAUUUUAUUUUUACUUUUUUAAGAUUUCAAGCACCAGUUAGAUUUUAGGAGACAAUUGAAAAAAAAAAAACCACGGAGGUUAUAGAGAAUUCAGGUAAGGGGAUGAAUCAUUUUAAUAUUAACUUACAGAAAUAUAAAUACAAACAAUCUUAAAGUCCA
rnacentral:lncRNA from 1 species